GCCAGCCCGCUCAGAAACUACAAAGGAAUUGACGGGGGCCCGCACAAGCGGUGGAGCAUGUGGUUUAAUUCGAUGAUACGCGAGGAACCUUACCUGGGCUCGAACGUAAGAUGACUGUAGGUGAAAGCUUACAUCUCUUCGGAGCAUUUUACGAGGUGCUGCAUGGUUGUCGUCAGCUCGUGCCGUGAGGUGUCGGGUUAAGUCCCAUAACGAGCGCAACCCCUACCUUUAGUUGCCAUCAGGUUAAGCUGGGGACUCUAAAGGAACUGCCUACGCAAGUAGUGAGGAAGGUGGGGAUGACGUCAAAUCAGCACGGCCCUUACGUCCAGGGCUACACACGUGCUACAAUGGCCGGUACAAAGGGCAGCUACCUGGUGACAGGAUGCUAAUCUCAAAAGCCGGUCUCAGUUCGGAUCGGAGUCUGCAACCCGACUCCGUGAAGCUGGAAUCGCUACGUAAUCGCGCAUCAGCCAUGGCGCGGUGAAUACGUUCCCGGGCCUU
rnacentral:rRNA from 1 species